rnacentral:rRNA from 1 species
AUUGAACGCUGGCGGAAUGCUUUACACAUGCAAGUCGAACGGCAGCACGGACUUCGGCCUGGUGGCGAGUGGCGAACGGGUGAGUAACAUAUCGGAACGUAUCCAAUAAUGGGGGAUAACGAGUCGAAAGAUUCGCUAAUACCGCAUACGCCCUACGGGGGAAAGCUGGGGACCUUCGGGCCUGGCGUUAAUGGAGCGGCCGAUAUCUGAUUAGCUAGUUGGUGAGGUAAAGGCUCACCAAGGCGACGAUCAGUAGCUGGUCUGAGAGGACGACCAGCCACACUGGAACUGAGACACGGUCCAGACUCCUACGGGAGGCAGCAGUGGGGAAUUUUGGACAAUGGGCGCAAGCCUGAUCCAGCCAUUCUGCGUGAGUGAAGAAGGCCUUCGGGUUGUAAAGCUCUUUCGCAAGGGAAGAAAACUUAGCCACUAACAUUGGUUGAGGUUGAUGGUACCUUGAUAAGAAGCACCGGCUAACUACGUGCCAGCCGCCGCAGUAA